GACGAACGCUGGCGGCGUGCUUAACACAUGCAAGUCGAGCGAUGAAGCUAGAGCUUGCUCUGGUGGAUUAGUGGCGAACGGGUGAGUAACACGUGAGUAACCUGCCCCGAACUCUGGGAUAACUGCUGGAAACGGUAGCUAAUACCGGAUAUGACCAAUGAAGGCAUCUUCUGUUGGUGGAAAGAAUUUCGGUUCGGGAUGGACUCGCGGCCUAUCAGCUUGUUGGUGAGGUAACGGCUCACCAAGGCGACGACGGGUAGCCGGCCUGAGAGGGUGAUCGGCCACACUGGGACUGAGACACGGCCCAGACUCCUACGGGAGGCAGCAGUGGGGAAUAUUGCACAAUGGGCGCAAGCCUGAUGCUGCAACGCCGCGUGAGGGACGACGGCCUUCGGGUUGUAAACCUCUUUUAGUAGGGAAGAAGCGAAAGUGACGGUACCUGCAGAAAAAGCACCGGCUAACUACGUGCCAGCAGCCGCAGUAA
rnacentral:rRNA from 1 species